rnacentral:rRNA from 1 species
AUUGAACGCUGGCGGCAUGCUUAACACAUACAAGUCGAACGGUAACAGGCCCUUCGGGGUGCUGACGAGUGGCGGACGGGUGAGUAAUGCUUAGGAAUCUGCCUAGUAGUGGGGGAUAACCCGGGGAAACUCGGGCUAAUACCGCAUACGCCCUACGGGGAAAGGCGGGGACGUUUCGGUCCGUCCGCGCUAUUAGAUGAGCCUAACGUACCGAUUAGUCUAGUUGG